rnacentral:rRNA from 1 species
AGUGAACGCUGGCGGCGUGCUUAACACAUGCAAGUCGAACGAUGAAGCUCUUGCUUGCAAGAGUGGAUUAGUGGCGCACGGGUGAGUAAUGUAUAGCUAACCUGCCCUUCAGAGGGGACAACAGUUGGAAACGACUGCUAAUACCCCAUACUCCUUUCUAUCAUAAGGUAGAUUGGGAAAACUCCGGUGCUGAAGGAUGGGGCUGUAUGGUAUCAGCUAGUUGGUGGGGUAAUGGCCUACCAAGGCAAUGACGCCUAGCUGGUCUGAGAGGAUGAUCAGCCACACUGGAACUGAGACACGGUCCAGACUCCUACGGGAGGCAGCAGUGGGGAAUAUUGCACAAUGGGGGAAACCCUGAUGCAGCAACGCCGCGUGGAGGAUGACGCAUUUUCGGUGUGUAAAACUCCUUUUAUCAGUCAAGAACAUGACGGUAGCUGAUGAAUAAGCACCGGCUAACUCCGUGCCAG